rnacentral:rRNA from 1 species
UACGAAGGGGGCGAGCGUUGUUCGGAUUUACUGGGCGUAAAGGGCGCGCAGGCGGCGCAUUUUGUCAGGCGUGAAAGCCCCGGGCUUAACCUGGGAAUUGCGUUUGAUACGGAUGGGCUAGAGUUCGGGAGAGGAGAGUGGAAUUCCCAGUGUAGAGGUGAAAUUCGUAGAUAUUGGGAAGAACACCGGUGGCGAAGGCGGCUCUCUGGACCGAGACUGACGCUGAGGCGCGAAAGCGUGGGGAGCAAACAGG